rnacentral:rRNA from 1 species
UACGAAGGGGGCUAGCGUUGUUCGGAAUUACUGGGCGUAAAGCGCACGUAGGCGGACUAUUAAGUCAGGGGUGAAAUCCCGGGGCUCAACCCCGGAACUGCCUUUGAUACUGGUAGUCUCGAGUCCGGAAGAGGUGAGUGGAAUUCCGAGUGUAGAGGUGAAAUGCGCAGAUAUCAGGAGGAACACCAAUGGCGAAGGCAGCUCGCUGGGACGGUACUGACGCUGAGGCGCGAAAGCGUGGGUAGCAAACAGG